AAUACUGGCAAGUAGAACGCUGGAGACUGGUGCUUGCACUAGUCAGAUGAGUUGCGAAGGGAGAGGAGAAACGUAGGUAACCUACCUCAUAGCGGGGGAUAAUUACUGGAAACGAUAGCUAAUACCGCAUGACAAUUAAGUACUCAUGUGCUAAAUUUAAAAGGAGCAAUUGCUUCACUAUGAGAUGGACCUGCGUUGUAUUAGCUAGUUGGUGAGGUAACGGCUCACCAAGGCCACGAUACAUAGCCGACCUGAGAGGGUGAUCGGCCACACUGGGACUGAGACACGGCCCAGACUCCUACGGGAGGCAGCAUAGGGAAUCUUCGGCAAUGGGGGCAACCCUGACCGAGCAACGCCGCGUGAGUGAAGAAGGUUUUCGGAUCGUAAAGCUCUGUUUGUUAGAGAAGAACGGUAAUGGGAGUGGAAAAUCCAUUACGUGACGGUAACUAACCAGAAAGGGACGGCUAACUACGUGUCAGCAGCCGCGGUAAUACGUAGGUCUCGAGCGUUGUCCGGGAUUUAUUGGGCGUAAAGCGAGCGCAGGCGGUUUAUUUAAGUCUGAAAUUUUAAAGGCCGUGGCUCAACCAUGGGUCCCUUUGGGAAAACGGGAUAACUUUGAGUGCA
rnacentral:rRNA from 1 species